rnacentral:lncRNA from 1 species
CUCCCUGAAAAGCAUGGAGCAGAGGUGUAGACGUUUGAUUAAGUGCUUCCUAAGCUUGAUGGUAGAGCCUUGUUUCAGAUGCUGAAUUUGCUUUGUGCAGCCUGGCAUUGUUCUCAGGAGGGUCUUUCAUAUGUGUCUGAGGACAUAGGGUCCUCCAUAGAACAGAUGAGAAGCAGGCCAGGGGAGAAGCGAUCUCUACCUCCCCACCUCACACCCACAUGGCGCAGGAGGACAGGGUUGACUGCAUCUGUGUCCCUGUGGGAAGUGCUUGCUCCCAUCAACUUGCUUCUUCUUGGAAAGCUAGAAUCCUGCAGCUGGAUUGACCAGCACAAAGACCUUUGUGCUGGCUGAAUAGCAAGGGGACCUUCAUGUGACUGGCAAGUGACUUGAUUUCCCAUGGGUUGCAUCAUGUUUUGGGGCACGAGGACUGUUUGCAGCUCAGGAUGUUUGCCAUCACAACGGCAGAGCCGCAGUUCACACCCAGGCACAUUCUCCCCAAGACCUGUGGCUGCAACCACUGCUAUGCAUGGAAUGUGAGACGGAUGGUGCUCGCCUAGCCAACAGUUGACGCUGAAUACAUCUUCAUCUAUGUAUUGACCAUCUACCCUUUUCCCAUGUUUUGUUUGUCAAAAUUCUUUGCUAAUUUCCUUAUUAAAAAUGGUCAGUAUUUUAAUUCUCCUGAUUCAUGAUAAUUUCUUUGACAAAGAAAUUAAUACUUUGUUAAAUGAGUACAAAUAUUUUUAAACAAUCUGUUUUACUUUUAAUCUUUGUUUAUGGUGAUAUUUUGGGCAUACAAAGGUCUUUAAUAUCCAUGUUAUUAAAUUCACAAAUAUUUCCCUUUGUGGAUUUUGGGUUUCAGUUUAUAAUUCUAAACAUAUUCUCCACUCCAUGAUUACAAAAUAAAAAUAAAACAACACUGGUAUUUUAA